AAGUCGUAACAAGGUUUCCGCAGGUGAACCUGCAGAAGGAUCAUUAACACGUAUCCAAACGUUAACCCCCUAACCUUCAAUGUGUUCGUACACUUUGUCAAAGCGAGGCAAUCCCUGGUAAUCAUCGCCGAACAGUUUUGAUUCUGGACUUCCGCAAGUGGGCAUUCCCAAGCAGUUAAUGUCUGAAAGUGUCUGGCUGUGUAAGGAUGACGCAGUAACGAUCGUUGGAGGCCGACACGGCCGAUGACCGGGUCACCGGGCGCAAGUCCCUUUAUCACCACUUGAUUCACAGCGCUUAAUUGUGUGGCGACCAAAAACCGAACAACUGUUAACAAUGGAUAUCUUGGUUCUC
rnacentral:misc_RNA from 1 species